GGGGGAGUCUCAUGCAACAGGGAGGAGGAUUUUGUGGAUGAGGAGGAGGAGGUGGAGAAUGUGCAGCAGACAAGCGGUGAAUCCGUUCUCCCUGGCAGCCAGGACCUUUUCAUCACCCUGGACCCAAUACCUUCCCAAGGCAGGAUCCUGGACCCUGAAGUUGGAGAAGGCAUCUCUGGUGCAAAGGUUUCUAUGCUCCCCCUAUCAUCUUCGUUCGUGAGGUUAUCGCAGAUCAGAAGGCGAA